rnacentral:rRNA from 1 species
UACAGAGGUCUCAAGCGUUGUUCGGAUUCACUGGGCGUAAAGGGCGUGUAGGCGGCGUCGUAAGUCGGGUGUGAAAUUUCGGAGCUUAACUCCGAAACUGCAUUCGAUACUGCGGUGCUUGAGGACUGGAGAGGAGACUGGAAUUUACGGUGUAGCAGUGAAAUGCGUAGAUAUCGUAAGGAAGACCAGUGGCGAAGGCGGGUCUCUGGACAGUUCCUGACACUGAGACACGAAGGCCAGGGGAGCAAACGGG